UUGUUUUUUUUCCAAAGACAAGGUCUUGAGAAAUAAAGCUUGAAUUUUGCCUGUUGUGUUAAUGUGUCACGACAGUCUGAAGAAGGAAGAAGACUCAAGUAGCUGUUUUCAAGUCUCUGAUAUAAUGCAAUAGCAUUGAAGAUUCUGAUGAAUUUGGUCUUGAGUUCCAUAAGCAAUUAAAUUACAACAUCCUCCUGAUUCCUCUGGAUGUGCAUUUCUCACAUGGAGGAGUCUCUCAG
rnacentral:sRNA from 1 species